rnacentral:rRNA from 1 species
UAGGGAAUCUUCCGCAAUGGGCGAAAGCCUGACGGAGCAACGCCGCGUGAGUGAAGAAGGUCUUCGGAUCGUAAAACUCUGUUAUUAGGGAAGAACAAAUGUGUAAGUAACUAUGCACGUCUUGACGGUACCUAAUCAGAAAGCCACGGCUAACUACGUGCCAGCAGCCGCGGUAAUACGUAGGUGGCAAGCGUUAUCCGGAAUUAUUUGGCGUAAAGCGCGCGUAGGCGGUUUUUUAAGUCUGAUGUGAAAGCCCACGGCUCAACCGUGGAGGGUCAUUGGAAACUGGAAAACUUGAGUGCAGAAGAGGGAAGUGGAAUUCCAUGUGUAGCGGUGAAAUGCGCAGAGAUAUGGAGGAAGACCAGUGGCGAAGGCGACUUUCUGGUCUGUAACUGACGCUGAUGUGCGAAAGCGUGGGGAUCAAACAGG